AAUGAACGCUGGCGGCAUGCCUAACACAUGCAAGUCGAACGGCAACACAGUAAGCUCGUUCUCUUGCGGGUGGCGGCUGGCGGACGUGUGAGGAAUACAUCACAAUCUUCUUUUUCUGGGAUGAUAUCGUAGGGAAGGAUACGCUAAUACCUCAUAUGACCUACGGCUUGAAUCAGUAGAGCUUCGCACCUUUCCUGACUCUAUUAGCUGAUUCCGUGUCGGAUUGGCUAGUUGGUAAGGUCACGGCCAACCAAGGCAACGAUGCGUAGCCGAUCUGAGAGGGUGAUCAGCCACACUGGAACUGAGACACGGUCCAGACUCCUACGGGAGGCAGCAGUGGGGAAUAUUGCACAAUGGGCGAAAGCCUGACCGAGCAACGCCGCGUGGGUGAAGAAGGUCUUCGGGUUGUAAAGCUCUUUUGUUGGGAAAGAAAAGAAGCAGGAUAAUACAUCGAUGUUCUGACGGUACCCAAAGAAUAAGCACCGGCUAACUUCGUG
rnacentral:rRNA from 1 species